rnacentral:rRNA from 1 species
AACGCGUGAGGAACCUGCCUUUCAGAGGGGGACAACAGUUGGAAACGACUGCUAAUACCGCAUAACACAUUGAGGUCGCAUGGCCUUAAUGUCAAAGAUUUAUCGCUGAAAGAUGGCCUCGCGUCUGAUUAGCUAGUUGGUGAGGUAACGGCCCACCAAGGCGACGAUCAGUAGCCGGACUGAGAGGUUGAACGGCCACAUUGGGACUGAGAUACGGCCCAGACUCCUACGGGAGGCAGCAGUGGGGAAUAUUGGGCAAUGGGCGCAAGCCUGACCCAGCAACGCCGCGUGAAGGAAGAAGGCUUUCGGGUUGUAAACUUCUUUUGUCAGGGACGAGUAGAAGACGGUACCUGACGAAUAAGCCACGGCUAACUACGUGCCAGCAGCCGCGGUAAUACGUAGGUGGCAAGCGUUGUCCGGAUUUACUGGGUGUAAAGGGCGUGUAGCCGGGAGGGCAAGUCAGAUGUGAAAUCCACGGGCUUAACUCGUGAACUGCAUUUGAAACUGUUCUUCUUGAGUAUCGGAGAGGCAAUC